rnacentral:rRNA from 1 species
CCUACGGGUGGCAGCAGUGAGGAAUAUUGGUCAAUGGACGAGAGUCUGAACCAGCCAAGUAGCGUGAAGGAUGACUGCCCUAUGGGUUGUAAACUUCUUUUAUAGGGGAAUAAAACGUUCCACGUGUGGGAUUUUGUAUGUACCAUAUGAAUAAGGAUCGGCUAACUCCGUGCCAGCAGCCGCGGUAAUACGGAGGGUACGGGCGUUAUGCGGAUUUAAUGGGGUUAGAGGGAGCGUAGGUGGAUUGUUAAGUCAGUUGUGAAGGUUUGCGGCUCAACCGUAAAAUUGCAGUUGAAACUGGCAGUCUGGAGUACAGUAGAGGUGGGCGGAAUUCGUGGUGUAGCGGUGAAAUGCUUAGA